rnacentral:tRNA from 1 species
GCAUCAUUGGUCUAGUGGUAGAAUUCAUCGUUGCCAUUCCAUCUGGAAAUUCGAUGAGGCCCGUGUUCGAUUCACGGAUGAUGCA